GCCCAGCUAGCUCAACUGGUAGAGCAUGAGACUCCAAAUCUUAGGUUCAUGGGUUUGAGCCCCAUGUUGGCUG
rnacentral:tRNA from 1 species